GGCUUUGCACAGUGGCAGUAUCAUAGCCAAUGAAGUUUAUCUGAGGCGCGAUUAUUGCUAGAU
rnacentral:snRNA from 1 species